GGAAAACCCACUCGAACCGGAACGUAAGCCAAACUGAUGAUAACAUGAACCAAAGUAACUGAACCGAACAAAGGAAAUCACCGAGUCGAAGUUACCUUCUUGGUUUGAUGAACUCGGAUCAAAUUAUCGAGUUGACUCGAAAAAGAAAAAUACACAGAAGAUGAGAAGAACGAACGGAAGGACACUAACUACAGCAGAAAUAUCAGGAGACGAGCAGUCACACAUAGAAGCAUCCGAUUACUAGGAGGCUCCUUGUGGCUUGAUAGUUAAAAGGGGAAAGCAAGCGAUUCGUGAUGAAACCUAUAAAAAAAAAAGAAGAAGAAAGAAAUUGAAACUCGCGUGGCAAAGAAGGAUCAAGGAAGGGAAGGAACUGGGGAAAAUCCAGUUAGGGUUAUCCAAUGCGAAAGUUGGCCGAUCCUCGUACAUUGGCCGCUACAUUCUCGAUAAAGUAGAAAUUCGUAUUGACAUCUAUGAGAAAAAAGAAAGGGGGGGAUAAAUCAUAUAUCAGUAUAGUAGAGGCAUCACGAAAUAGCGGGUCGACAAGAGAAAACUUACCGCUUCACCAUGUCUCUCGUUUGAAACCAGAGUCUUUAUCUGCUCGCUUUGUUUCAGGCGGGGGCAAUCUCUAAGAUCGAGGUGUUUGAUCGUAUGGUUUGGGGAAAGGGUGACGUUCUCCAGAUAAUCACAGCCGUGUGCAUAGAGAUGGUUGAGACUCAGGGGAAGCUCUUCCACAUAUUUGAGUUUCUUGCAGUUCUUGAGGCAGAGAGUGUUCAGUGAGGACAGGUGUCUAAUGCUUGUUGGUAUUCUCUCGAAAUCAUGGUUGCUAAGGUCUAAAUAUGCUAAACUGGUGUUAUAGCAUAAUAGCUGAUCUUGCAGUGACUGAAGAUUCUUGCAGUUGUCAAUGCAAAGCUCUAUCAAACCCCUCGGUUGGUUGUCUAGACCAGGAAGAGUGAGGGUGGGAGUAAGUAGUGGCAAUGCUUUGAGCUGACGGCAGUUUCGAAGAGUAAGACAUUCCAGCUUGGUCAGUUGUGCCAUGGUUUUGGGUAGAUGAACGAAAUCAUUACCGGUGAGGUCCAUUUUCCUUAAGGACAACAAACAAUCAAUGUCUUGUGGGAUUUCUCGGAUGCUUAAGUUGAUGAGCUUUAGCUCAGUCAAACAAGGAAAGCUUGAAAAGCUCUGACAACUGAAAGGAGCUUCUCUCGCCCCGUAGUUGAACCUCUCAAUGACGAGUGUUUUGAUAAGGUGCAAGGGUUGAAUUGAACCUGUUUUCUGUGCCAUCGUAAUUUUCAAUUGAUCAGGGAUCUGUUGCUCGCAAGUAAAAGACAAGUGCUCUGCACUUCCUAUGAGAGUGUGCAAUAACUUAACAGAUAUUUCGCCUUGGAUGGAUAAUUCUGUAAGAGAACUAAGCGCUGUUACUGUAUCAAGAAGCAACAAAUUAAUAUGUCGAUAGGGGCUGGGUCGGCUGGCCUUGGGUUGAUUAUGGUCGUCAGUAACCAGCAAGAGACCCAUAAGGCUAUCACACUUGACCAUAUUGAGUUUCCUCAAAGGUAAUCUGUUUAAGGACCAUGGGGUUUGCCUAAGGCUCCUGCAGCCUUCCAUUAUCAACUCCUCAAGAUUCAUGGAAUCUGAAAGAUCUGGAAGUUCUACUAGACUCGUAGAGCCUGUCACAUCUAGUCUUCGUAGGUUCGGAAGCUGCUUAAAACAAGACAACAGAAAAGUAUGGAACACAUUUUAGUCAAUGCAAAUAGAUUCAAUGUAUAUGAAAAGGGAAUUAAAUAUGAAUUUUGAAAAGUAGCGUACCUUGGAUCUAUAGACCUUGGUUUCAUCCCAAAAGUGUUUUAGGUUGCUGUAUCGCAGAUUGAUUUCGACUAGGGUGCUUGAUUGGAAACUAAAAGGCAAGGUUUCCAGAGGGUAGGCGUCCCAAUGGAGUAACUUAAGUCCAUGAGUGAUACUAGAAACAUCCGAAAUGAGCUGCAGCUUGGACGUUAUAUCAACCACAUGCUUUAAAAACUUGAGAAAUGUGAGAUCACGCAUUGGCCUGCACUGCUCCCUAUACGUAAAGUGUCAGACAGAUCACACAUUUCUAGUGACACCCCAUGUAUUUUGGAUGUACCCUGUUGAACAAAAGCAUGUAUACUCACUUUAAAGGAUUAGAAACAAAAACAAAUUGAAGAAUUUAUUUGUAAGAACUUACUAUGUUCC
rnacentral:lncRNA from 1 species